rnacentral:lncRNA from 1 species
CGGAAUCAACGAUUCCGAUUCCGACCCCACCCGUACCUCGCCUUUCCCAAAUGUCGCGUCCUUACUAUCUCCAGACACGUGGGGCCCGUUAUCUUCGUCUUGAACUAUUCGCCUCAGCUUAGCAACAUUUGCAGAACAAGAAUCUUCAGGUAAAGGAGGGGAACAUGCCACGUCAGAUCUUGAGAUUUCACCAGCUGCCACGCUGGCAAGAAGAUUCAUUCCACCAUCAUCACCCAUUGAAGGUGACACUGAGACACUAGCUUCAGAAAACUUAGCACAGCUUUCUACUAACGCGUUUAUAGAGCUAUAAGAAGGUUCAUAUAAUUUCCCUGGUUUUGGAGUGACCCCAGAUGAAGAACCACCAUGUUCAUCAGGUAACACAACAGUCACAGUUGCUGACUUGGCAUCAUCACAGCCCUCCAUUCCAUCUUUCCCAUCUGUAUCCAUUUUUUCCACAUUGCUCUGUAAAGAAUCGUUUACAGUUUUUCCACUUGUCUUUUGAUCUUGCUUCUCAGAAGGUGCCACAACACUUUGGUUGUUUCCAUUAUCUACAAUGGACACAUCAGACACAUGUCCAGCUCCUUUCUCAUUACCAAAAUUCCGGAUUUUUCCAAGAUUACCCUUUUCAUUUCCUGGAGUUGUGGAGCCAUGGAAACCAUUGCUUGAGUUCCUGCUAUUGUAAACACUACCAGUCUUCCCAUGAUCACUAGAGCAAGAUUGACUGUUGUUUGGAGAAUGAGUGGUGCUUGAACUCCUACCUUCUUUAGUUCCAGAUGAAGGCAUGUCCGAGGAUCCACCACCACCUCCCCCACCGCCACCGCCAGUUGCCGCCAGUUUAUCGGCGGGAGAUUUGGCGGCAGGUUCACCGGAAUUAUUAUUAUUAUUAUUAACUUUCGGUUGUUGUGGAGAUUUUAAAGGGGAAGGUUGAGAGGUGGAAGUAGAACGUCUGUUUCCUAAAUGAGAAACAUCAGACAUCAUUGAUUUACUUGGCCAUGAGCCACCUCGACUUGUACUAGAUUUUGUUUCAAUCAUUGUCAUUUCAGCUUCCACACGUCUCUUCCAUGUGCUGACUAGACUUCUUGCUUUCUUCUGAAUCUCUGAAUUUUUAUGGCUUCUUAAAUGAUUCACAGAUUUCCCAACAUUACAAGUCUGUAAAGCAUGAAGAUUCACAGGUAACCUAUCAAGGGCACGAAGUAGAGAAAAAAGAAAAUCUUCAACAGAUUUAUCGUUUUCUUUUGGACUCCCAUUCCCAUCGCCGAUUUUACCCUUGUGGAUUUCUUGAAGCCAUUCAUCCAAAACUGACAAACCCCUUAAUUGAACAAACCGAGUUAAAUAAUCAAAUCUUUCAGUAACUGAUAUGACAUCAACAAGCAUUGUUCGGGAAGAUAAGUCGAGUUUUUUGUCGGUGUUUUCGGGUCUCAUGAGUUGGAUUAGUUUUUCAACUCCUUGGAAAUCCAUCAAUCCUCCUUUAUCAGUGAUUUUGGAAAUUUCGGUUUUUAUUAUGUGUUCAGGUCUAAGUUGACCAGAAUNAAGAAUCUUCAGGUAAAGGAGGGGAACAUGCCACGUCAGAUCUUGAGAUUUCACCAGCUGCCACGCUGGCAAGAAGAUUCAUUCCACCAUCAUCACCCAUUGAAGGUGACACUGAGACACUAGCUUCAGAAAACUUAGCACAGCUUUCUACUAACGCGUUUAUAGAGCUAUAAGAAGGUUCAUAUAAUUUCCCUGGUUUUGGAGUGACCCCAGAUGAAGAACCACCAUGUUCAUCAGGUAACACAACAGUCACAGUUGCUGACUUGGCAUCAUCACAGCCCUCCAUUCCAUCUUUCCCAUCUGUAUCCAUUUUUUCCACAUUGCUCUGUAAAGAAUCGUUUACAGUUUUUCCACUUGUCUUUUGAUCUUGCUUCUCAGAAGGUGCCACAACACUUUGGUUGUUUCCAUUAUCUACAAUGGACACAUCAGACACAUGUCCAGCUCCUUUCUCAUUACCAAAAUUCCGGAUUUUUCCAAGAUUACCCUUUUCAUUUCCUGGAGUUGUGGAGCCAUGGAAACCAUUGCUUGAGU